rnacentral:lncRNA from 1 species
UACAAAUUGACAUCUGAUGCUUUAACAUUGGGUAUUUAUUUUAAUGAUGACUAAUAUUUUAAGAGGCUGAGAGAAGGCUGUAGAGACACUGUAAUAAGUGCUUGGGCAUGAGAAAUUAGGAAGACCACAGUUACGAGUAAUGAAAUGCGGAAGCCGAUGCAAAGCUACUGCCCCCAUUUGUUUAGCAGAAGGCAAGAUAGGAGGCCUCUGACAGUACAAGCGUGUUCGUAAAUAUUUGGGUGAUGUCAUGCAUUCCCCAUGCAUUGGUUUUCAUGAGUGGUUUCAGUGAGUUUUUGGGCAAGUCUGAUAUUAGUGAUCCACAGGCAGCAGGCAGCUUCCUGUACAGAGCUACCUCCACCCCUUGGACAGUCCAGGACUGAAUGGUUGUCAAAAAUGUGAACUCCUUGAUGACCAGUAAAGGCAACUGAGAGAACUGUGUAGCAUUGGUGUAAAAAGUGCACUUUCCUAAGGAGCAUGAACUUAGAGUAAUCAAAGGCUGUGGCAACAGUGGAACCCAGCAGGGCAUCCACUCGCUGCUUUGUAACUUAAAUAGGAAUUCUUUGAGGAGCUCAGUCUCUCAACUAAAGCAGCUGCCUGCAGCCUAUAGGGGCAGUGGAAGCUCUACUGGACACCUUCUUCACAAGCCCAGCACUGUGUUUUCUGAUGAAAUGUUGCCUUGGUCACCAUCAGUAGUGUCUGGAACUCUGCAGGGGAUAAGGAGUGUCCCUGUGAGAUCCGUACUGUGUACUUAGUUAAAAUAAAAGCAUCUGUUGCCUUGAUUGGUAUUCUGAGUAUCCAUGAGACAAGAAGUUUCUUUAGUUCAAUGGGGAGGGGAGGUGGACAAUUCUUGGAAAUUGCCAAAAGGUUUGUAAAAAUGUACAAAUGGGGCUAAUUGUUGGCCCAGCAUCAGUGCUGAGACGACC